UGGGGAAUUUUGCACAAUGGGGGGAACCUUGAUGCAGCGACGCCGCGUGAGGGAUGGAGGCCUUCGGGUUGUGAACCUCUUUCGCUCGUGUGCAAGCCGCUAUUUGGGUAGUGGUGAGUGUAGCGGGUAAAGAAGCGCCGGCUAACUACGUGCCAGCAGCCGCGGUAAUACGUAGGGCGCGAGCGUUGUCCGGAUUUAUUGGGCGUAAAGGGCUUGUAGGCGGUUUGUCGCGCCUGUCGUGUAAUCCUCUGGCUUAACUGGGGGUGUGCAGUGGGUACGGGCAAGCUUGAGUGCGGUAGGGGAGAUUGGAAUUCCUGGUGUAGCGGUGGAAUGCGCAGAUAUCAGGAGGAACACCGGUGGCGAAGGCGGGUCUCUGGGCCGUUACUGACGCUGAGGAGCGAAAGCGUGGGGAGCGAACAGG
rnacentral:rRNA from 1 species